AGAGUUUGAUCAUGGCUCAGAACGAACGCUGGCGGCAGGCCUAACACAUGCAAGUCGAGCGCGCCUUCGGGUGAGCGGCGGACGGGUUAGUAACGCGUGGGAACGUGCCCUUCUCUACGGAAUAGCCUCUGGAAACGGAGAGUAAUACCAUAUACGCCCUUUGGGGGAAAGAUUUAUCGGAGAAGGAUCGGCCCGCGUUAGAUUAGGUAGUUGGUGGGGUAACGGCCUACCAAGCCUACGAUCUAUAGCUGGUUUUAGAGGAUGAUCAGCAACACUGGGACUGAGACACGGCCCAGACUCCUACGGGAGGCAGCAGUGGGGAAUCUUAGACAAUGGGGGCAACCCUGAUCUAGCCAUGCCGCGUGAGUGAUGAAGGCCUUAGGGUCGUAAAGCUCUUUCGCCUGUGAUGAUAAUGACAGUAGCAGGUAAAGAAACCCCGGCUAACUCCGUGCCAGCAGCCGCGGUAAU
rnacentral:rRNA from 1 species